CGAGGAGGUAGGGCUUACGCUCGCGUUUGUCUGUUAUAUCUUGGUGGACGAGUCGUCGUGGUUGGGACUGAGGUGCCUACAACGUGCUUUUGAGUGGGUUUGUGUCUCCGUGUGCGCCGUGUGCGGAUAGCUUGCUAUGUAUGUGUGGUUGUGUGUGGAUUGAUGCGGGCUUUAACUUGUCGCCGUUCGGGACGUUGACGAAAUGGAGCGAUCCGACCCGUCUUGAAACACGGACCAAGGAGUCUAACAUGUGUGCAAGUGUUAGGGUGUGGAAACCCCAGCGCGAAAUGAAAGUGAAGGGCAGCGCAAGUUGUCUGAGGUAGGAAACGUUGCGGGCUUCGGUCUGCGGCGUGGCACUAUCGACCGAUCAUGAACCUUCGUGGUGAAAGAUUUGAGUUUGAGCACAUAUGUUGGUACCCGAAAGAUGGUGAACUAUGCCUGAGUAGGGUGAAGCCAGGGGAAACUCUGGUGGAAGCUCGUAGCGAUUCUGACGUGCAAAUCGAUCGUCAAACUUGGGUAUAGGGGCGAAAGACUAAUCGAACCAUCUAGUAGCUGGUUCCCUCCGAAAUUUCCCUCAGGAUAGCAGCAACUUAUUUACGAUAGUUUUAUGAGGUAAAGCGAAUGAUUAGAGGAUUCGGGGAAGAAACUUCCUCGACCUAUUCUCAAACUUUAAAUCUGUAAGACCUGCAGGUUUCUUAAU
rnacentral:rRNA from 1 species